AGCUGCGUGUUGAGCGCAAAUCAAACUAUUCUUUCACCUUUUACUAAAGAAUACCAUGUGCUCGUCACAAACAGCAGCAUACGCUAAUUUUUGGACGGUUCUAACUCUUUUAGAGUU